rnacentral:rRNA from 1 species
UACGUAGGGUGCGAGCGUUGUCCGGAAUUAUUGGGCGUAAAGAGCUCGUAGGCGGUGUGUCACGUCGGCCGUGAAAACCUGCAGCUUAACUGUGGGCGUGCGGUCGAUACGGGCAUCACUGGAGUUCGGCAGGGGAGACUGGAAUUUCUGGUGUAGCGGUGGGAUGCGCAGAUAUCAGGAGGAACACCGGUGGCGAAGGCGGGUCUCUGGGCAGUAACUGACGCUGAGGAGCGAAAGCGUGGGGGAGCGAACAGG